GAGCGCCCCGCAAGGGGAGCGGCAGACGGGAGAGUAACACGUGGGAACGUACCCUUUGGUUCGGAACAACCCAGGGAAACUUGGGCUAAUACCGGAUAAGUCCGAAAGGAGAAAGAUUCAUCGCCGAAGGAUCGGCCCGCGUCUGAUUAGCUUGUUGGUGAGGUAACGGCUCACCAAGGCGACGAUCAGUAGCUGGUCUGAGAGGAUGAUCAGCCUCACUGGGACUGAGACACGGCCCAGACUCCUACGGGAGGCAACAGUGGGGAAUAUUGGACAAUGGGUGCAAGCCUGAUCCAGCCAUGCCGCGUGGGUGAUGAAGGCCCUAGGGUUGUAAAGCCCUUUCGGCGGGGAAGAUAAUGACGGUACCCGCAGAAGAAGCCCCGGCUAACUUCGUG
rnacentral:rRNA from 1 species